AUUGGGGAGCAUACAUAAUACAUGAGAGAAAACCUAAAUCUAAAAAACCCAUCGUCUGAUCGCCAGCCCACAUGUCUUGUUCUGAGCUUUAUCCUCCUUGUUAGAAUAUUGAGUAUCAUGGGAAAAUAUCAUUGAAGAAUUUAAGGAGAAAAAGGUCCAUCGGUACACAAAGAGAUCGUAUCAGUAACUAGGGGUGUUCGCGGUCCAAGAACCGGACCGCACCGGACAUGUACGGAACCGAACCGAGAACCGAUUUUUAAAAAACGUAGAACCGAGGACUGGACCGGCGUCUUCGGUUCGGUUCAUGCUCGGUUCAUAGUCGGUUUUCGGGUUUGAAAGGUUGGACCGAGAACCGAGUAUUGGACUUUAAUUUUUGUGUCAUGUUUGUUUAAUUUCUAUUCACAAAUCACAUGUUGUGUUACUUUGUUGUGACUGAUUCAUUGUUUUAUUGCCACAAAAGUGGAGUUUAUUGAUUUCAUUGUGCCAAGCCAAUUUCACUUGUGAAUUGUUUAAAAAUUAAGGACAUUUAUGUAUUCAUACAAUUACACA